UUUAACUGAGCGUUCAGUUACUUGACGUAGACCCGAAACCGGGCGACCUACCCAUGAGCAGGAUGAAGCGAAAGUAAAAUUUCGUGGAGGUCCGAACCCACGAGCGUUGAAAAGCUCGGGGAUGACUUGUGGGUAGCGGUGAAAUUCCAAUCGAGCCCGGAGAUAGCUGGUUCUCCCCGAAAUAGCUUUAGGGCUAGCCUCAAGGUGAGAGAUACGGAGGUAGAGCACUGAAUGUCCUAGGGGGUAUUGCACCUACCGAAGACUAUCAAACUCCGAAUGCCGUCAUCUUAUACUUGGGAGUCAGACUGUGGGUGAUAAGAUUCAUAGUCGAAAGGGCAACAGCCCAGAUCGUCAGCUAAGGUCCCUAAAUGUAAGUUAAGUGGUAAAGGAUGUGGGAUUGCACAGACAACCAGGAUGUUGGCUUAGAAGCAGCCACUCAUUCAAAGAGUGCGUAAUAGCUCACUGGUCGAGUGAUCCUGCGCCGAAGAUUUCCGGGGCUAAAACUUACUACCGAAGCUACGGCAUCAGUAAUGAUGGGUAGGGGAGCUUCCCAUACGGGUUGAAGCAUGACCGUAAGGACAUGUGGACAGUAUGGGAGUGAGAAUGUUGGCAUGAGUAGCGAGAUGUGGGUGAGAAUCCCACAGGCCGUAAACCCAAGGUUUCCAGGGGAAGGUUCGUCCGCCCUGGGUUAGUCGGGACCUAAGCUGAGGCCGAAAGGCGUAGGUGAUGGACAACAGGUUGAUAUUCCUGUACUACCGAUAACCGUUUGAGAGAUGGGAUGACACAGUAGGAUAAGCUAAGCACACUGUUGGUUAUGUGUGCCCAAGCAUUGAGGCAGUCAAAGUAGGUAAAUCCGCUUUGAUAAUGCUGGGAUGUGAUGGGGAGCGAAAUUUAGUAGCGAAGUAGCUGAUUUCACACUGUCAAGAAAAGUCUCUAUCGAGGUUAAAGGUACCCGUACCGCAAACCGACACAGGUGGGUGAGGAGAGUAUCCUAAGGCCAGCGAGAGAACUGUUGUUAAGGAACUCGGCAAAAUGACCCCGUAACUUAGGGAUAAGGGGUGCCACCAUCAGGUGGCCGCAGAGAAUAGGCCCAAGCGACUGUUUACCAAAAACAUAGGUUUCUGCUAAGUCGCAAGACGAUGUAUAGGAGCUGACGCCUGCCCGGUGCUGGAAGGUUAAGGGGAUCUGUUAGAGCAAUCGAAGCAGUGAACUUAAGCCCCAGUAAACGGCGGCCGUAACUAUAACGGUCCUAAGGUAGCGAAAUUCCUUGUCGGGUAAGUUCCGACCCGCACGAAAGGCGUAACGAUUUGGGCACUGUCUCAACAACAGACUCGGUGAAAUUGUAAUUCCGGUGAAGAUGCCGGAUACCUGCGACAGGACGGAAAGACCCCAUGGAGCUUUACUGUAGCUUGACAUUGGGUCUUGGUACUACAUGUACAGGAUAGGUGGGAGGCUUUGAAACCAGGACGCCAGUUUUGGCGGAGCCAUCCUUGGGAUACCACCCUUGUAGUACUGGGACUCUAACCAUAGGCCAUGAAUCUGGUCUUGGGACACUGUCAGGUGGGCAGUUUGACUGGGGCGGUCGCCUCCCAAAAGGUAACGGAGGCGCUCAAAGGUUCUCUCAGUACGGUCGGAAAUCGUACGUAGAGUGUAAAGGCAAAAGAGAGCUUGAUUGCAAGACAUACAGGUCGAGCAAGGAUGAAAAUCGGACUUAGUGAUCCGGUGGUUCUGCGUGGAAGGGCCAUCGCUCAACGGAUAAAAGCUACCCUGGGGAUAACAGGCUUAUCUCCCCCAAGAGUCCACAUCGACGGGGAGGUUUGGCACCUCGAUGUCGGCUCAUCACAUCCUGGGGCUGUAGUAGGUCCCAAGGGUUGGGCUGUUCGCCCAUUAAAGUGGUACGCGAGCUGGGUUCAGAACGUCGUGAGACAGUUCGGUCCCUAUCCGUCGCAGGCGUAGGAAAUUUGAGAAGACCUGUCCUUAGUACGAGAGGACCGGGAUGGACG
rnacentral:rRNA from 1 species